CAGAUUGCAAAAAGAAGAGGCACUAUAAGUUCGUGUAAUCAAAGCAAGUGAAUUUGGUGAAAGACUUAAGAGGUUCAUGUGAUGAGUUGCUUGUAGAAUGUCAAUUUUCUCUUGAGGGUUACUGGUUGUUGUGGCAAAGUAACACCAACAAUUUCGGCACUGGUUAUGGAUGCUCCUCUGAUUGAACAAUCUCCAGCUCUCUUCAAAUCAUCAGCCGCAUCUCAUCAACCAAGAAGCUUAUAAGUUUUAUCUUGGAGUUCUUGGACUUUUUUGUGUACAAAGAACUAUAGAAGAACAACCGCAUUUUUUCAAGUCUUGAAGGAUAUUUUUAAACACUUCGGAACUUUGAUUAUAGUAUUAGAUUAAUUUCAGCGGUUGUUUUAUUCAAAUUACCACAUCUUUUUUUUGUUAAUUUUAAGAUGGUUAUGGACAAUGUUAUAUAUUUGAUAAUACAUUUCUAUGUUAAUAUUA